ACCCCAACGGCUAUGUCACCCUCUCUCUCCACAAAUCCCAGAGGUCUCUCUAUAUUCUCAGCUCUCUCAUAUUGAUACCCCCAAACCCCCAAGAUUUUCAUUUCUCUUCUCUCUCUCUGAAAUUUUCUCUCUUCGAAAUUCUCUCUUAGCCCUAGGGUUUCAACUUAAUGAUAAGGCUCAGAUAUUUGUGAACACGAAGAGAUUUCAAGGCCUUCGAGUUAAUCAAAAUAUUGAUUGGUUGCGCUGGAGUGUGAAGUUUGGGUCGAACUUGGCUUCUGGGAUUUGUUAAAGCUGGUUUGUAUGGAAUGAAGAUAUCAUUUAUGCGUCUUCAGGAAAGGAGGUCCAGUGUUUUGAUGUGCAUAUGAGGCCACCUCAUAGAAGCCACUGCAGAGUUAUAGUUACAAUAAAGAGGAGAUAAAUCAGAUUGCAUGAAGUCGUCUUUUCUUGGUGCUGCAGAUGAUGGUGGUGAUGUUAAGGUACUUAUGAUGUUUUGACUCACUGGAUCGUGGGUGGCGAGAGUAGGGUGGUUCAGGGGAGACAAUGGCCCUCUGCCCCACAAACAAAAAAGAAAAAAAGAAAAAAAAAUCAUGUCCUUCUAGAAAAAUCUAUAAAAAACAUAUUUGAUCCACCCCAAACAAGUCUUGCCUUGCCCCAACUAAUAGUAAGAGUCAUGUUGCCCUCAUCACCCACAUUUCUUGAGAAUCUGUUAGAAUUAUUAUUCGGGUUUUGAGAUUUUGAUUUGCCAUAUUUUUUUCAUGGAAAAUCAUAUAAUCUAGGCUUUUGAUUGAGAGGAAUUAAUCAACAAAAACACACUCUCUCUGUUUUUCCAAUUGGGAUUUUUCUCAUCUCUUUCUCUUUCCCUUACUGUGUGUUUGGGUAAAAAAAACCUUUAUGGGAGGAGCAAGAAUUUUAGAGACAGAAAUCCUAGGUCUCUUCCACACUUACCCUAUCAAAAUUCACCGUUUCACACCCACCCACACUUACGCUAUCAAAAUUCACAUUUUCAAAGAGAAACUCCACAAUGUCCACAAUUAUCAAACCAAAGAUAUUGAAUUCUAAUUUGAAUGUAGAGAUUUGACACAUGAGAAUAUGUUUGUGCAGUACAAAUUUGAUGCAAUAUUUGCAGCUCAUGUCCAAGCUUAUGAAAUUAUAGGUUUUCUUGUUUUCUUCACUUAAUUUGAGUGGUUGGUUAAAGAUUCAAGUAUAAUUAAUUAUGCGGGUGAUAAAUCAUGUCUAAUAUAGUGUGUUUUUAUUGAGUUUAUGACUUUAUGCUGAGGUCGUUGUACUAUUGUAGAAUUUGAGCAGCAAAAAAUGUAUAAAGGUGCAAUUGGCUAAGAGUGGUCAAGGUAACUUUUUUAUAUAUAUCUUCAGAUAAAUAUCACUUUUGAUGAUGGGAGAAAUCUUAUUAAGAAUUAUACCAUAUGCAUAUCCAUUUUAACAGAAAUUUUGUUUAGUGUGUUUCCAUCCUGGUUUGGUUUCAGGGUUUUGCAACUAAGAAUUUGGCAAAGUAACUUUUGGAUUAAAAAUUUAUAAAUUGAAUAUAAUAGGCUAACCAUGCUAAUAAAGCUUAAACUAUAUGCUAGUAAUUCAGGUAGAAGUUGCUCCUUGAUGCAAUGACUUUAGCAUGUAUUAUAAAUAACUUUAAUGUUGUUACACUUGCUAGCUGUUCCCUUUGUACAAUUUCAUGUAUUCUGGUUUUGUGAUGAGA